ensembl:snRNA U6 U6 spliceosomal RNA
GCGCUCACUUCGGCAGCACAUAUACUAAAAUUGGAACGAUACAGAGAGGAUUAGCAUGGCCCCUGUGCAAGGAUGACACGCAAACCUUGAGUGCUUUCUUCAGUCAUU